rnacentral:lncRNA from 1 species
CUUCACAGCCUUGCGCUUCAUCAGGGCCAAUUCAGGUUAUGGGAGAGUCCCUUGCAAAUUUACUGCUUGCAAAUGAUUUGUCUAUUUUAAAUCUAAAUUGUAUUAGACUGUGUUAAGUUUGGUUCUAUGUUUAGCUUAAACUAUGAUUAUGUAUUUUUGAUUCUAAAGAGAGAGGGAGGCCUACAGUCGAACUUUAGUUAUGAGUGCGUGGUUAUAAGUGCUCUACUACUAAAGCUAUAAGGUCUUCCAAGUUACGAUUAAACAAUUACAUUCUUGUAUUUCUUAUAUGAAUUUGUAGUUUAUCUAUAUUUUUCUUUUUUAUUUAACUAAUUAACAUAAUUUAUGAUUUAUAAGGUUUGUCCACCAUCAAUCAAAUCUUCAAUUGAUUAAGGUUUGUUCGUCAUCAUUUUCAAAUCUUCAAUUGAUUAAGGUUUGUUCGUCAUCAAUAUCAAAUCUUCAAUUGAUUAUCAUAUCUGCCGACAGAAACCAGAUUUCGUCUGGUAAGGUUAUAUAUGAAUGGUCACACAAAUCCCACAAGAGAAUUUAUGACGGUAAACUAUGUCAUCUCUAAAAUAGGGGAAAAUAAAUCAUGUCGUCCACUCAUAUUAUAACACGUGUAUAAGAUGUAUCACGUGACCAUAUUAUCUGGUAUUUUAUAAUUUCUCCAUCUUAUGAACUUCUGUUGAGAAUUGAUUGGGCUUCUGUCCAUUUCAAUCAAAUAAUAUUGAAUGGCAUUUCUACAUACUGAUCAAAACUAAGGUUGUUUAGUCAACACCAUGCGUAUAAAAAGAAAAACCCACGGUUCUCUUGCCAAGGCCACAAAAUUAAAGCAGAGCAAAAUGAAGCUCACGGUCAAGCAGGUACAAGUUCUUUGCUUUUGGGCUCUAAUUGUGCGCAUGCUUACAAUGCCCUUGCUUUUUCAUAACCACUUAGCAAAAUUCCUUAACACACAUACAUAUUUGAGAAGGAGACUGUCUGUUGUUCUCCAUUUUUUCUUGCUGGCACUCCUGGGGGCAUCAACCGUAGCGCGAUCUGUGUAGUCCGACCCAAUGGCACCCAAUAACACCUUGCACACCCCGUUUGGCACGGUUUGGGUUGUGGAUGACCCCAUUGACAGAGGGAUGUGACCUGAAAUCAAGGGUCAUUGGCAACUCUAGAGGUGUAUAUGUGUCCGCAGGUAAGCAUGAGCUAAUGCUUGUGGCUUACCUUGACUUUGGAUUUACUAGUGGCAAGUUCAAUGGCAGCUCCAUCUGUGCUUUUGAGGAACCCGGUAAGGGACGUUGAUCGGGAGUUCACUGUGGUUAGUGGCCGGGGGAAGUUUAGGAUGGCCAGAGGGUUUUGCAAGCUUAAGUGCAUUUUCUUCAAUGAGACUAAUGGUUCUAUUGUAGAGUACACUGUGGUAGUGAGGCAUUAUUGAGCUUGGUCUGUAUCUUAAUAUAAUAAAAAUAAAAAAACUCAUCAAACAUUUCCUAAGGUGCAGUGAAAUUAGAACUAAUUCAGAUUAUGGGACAAUCCCUUGCAAAUUUAUCGCUUGCAAGUGAUAUGUUUGUCUUCCAUGUGUUAUGCUUGCUUCUAUGUUUAGCUUAAACUAUAACUAUGUUUUAAUUUUUUUCAAAAUUCUAGAGACAUAUUGACUUGAUUGAGGCCGAGAUUCGAACUUUGGUAUAAGAUUAAGUACUCAGCUACUAAAAUUAUAAGCCCUUGCAAAUUAUGAUAUGUAAACACAUUUCCUGUAAUGUUCUUCGAAAUACUAGUUACUGGCUAAAAAAUUUAUCAAGCUAAUGACCAUCAUAUCUUACAUAUGGCCGAAUUAAACAUCAUCAAUAAGCUGUGCAGUUGGGCGUUUGAUGGAAAGAAAGCACAGUUGGGACUUUAUUCCAAGGAAAAUCAGUUGUGCUUCAAUUUAAGGAACUCUGUUUACACUCCAAUCUCGUCUUUGGACACCCAUUAAUGUUGUUUUAAAAAUAUAAUAACAAUUAUAACCCAUUAAUAAGAUUACUAUAAUGGGCUUUGUUACGUUUAUAUUAAAAUUUCAAUUUCUCGGGCACUCACAAAAUAUAAUUAAACCUCACCCUUCCACUCUCACUAAUACUAUACCUAUUAUUAGGCCUAAUCAUUUGGCCCGUGGGCUUGUGAGCCGAUGGGGGUCCGUCCGGCCCGGUCCGUUAUGGGCUUUGAGAUGGCCCGGCCCGCCUUAGGCCAUGCUAGGUUUGGGCUUGGCUCACAUACAUAUAUAAUUAUGUAUAAAUAAGAGUUUAGGAUUAUGAUUAUAUCACUUAAAUCACAUAUAUAAUUUGUUUCAUUUCAUUUACUUUUCUUUACUCAUUCCUAGUUUAUAAUUGGAUGAUUAGCACAUUAAUUUGUGUCAAUUAUUAAUACAAAAAUUAUAUAUAUAAAUAAGAUGAAUAACAUAUCAUAUCACCAAAUAUAAUCAUAUCACGAAACAUAAUCGUACCACAAAAUAUAAUCAUGUUUUUCUUGAACACAUCACCAAACAUUUACAUAUUUAUUUAUACCAUCCUUUAAAAAAAAAUAUCUUUUUGAUACUUAUUAUUUUUUAAAAUUAUUUCUUAAAACGUAUUAUGGUCUAAUUAUGUAAUAACCUCAAAAAUAAUACUUGGUUUUAUUAUUUUUGUGGAAAAUCUUAUUAAGUUGUGUGACUUUAUUGGGUAUUUUAUGAAUUUGGUUUGAUGUGAAAAUAUUGAAAUUAAGUGAGUUUAAUCUCAAAUUUAGACUAAAAUGCCCUUAUGAUUAAGUUUAUGAUUUUUUUCGAACGAAGUAGGCCUGUUUUAGCCCGGCCUGGCCUAAUGGGCUUUCUCAAGCCCGGCCUAUGGGUCGGGCUUGGGCUUUGAAUUGUCUAAAAAAACCCGACCCGGUUUUUUCUCUCUCCUCUUUAAAGCCUGGGCCGGCCUGGUCCAAGCUCGUUAAAUUUGGGUCGGACUAACCCGGCCCGGCCCAUUGACGAGCCCUAUGUAUUAUUUCUCUAACUUCUUAACCACAACCCAUAAAUCACUAAUUCUUAUGUGAAAUAAAUGUAACUAAAUUAUGUGGAAAGAGGUGGACCAAAAAAAAAAUUAUGUGGAAAGACUACAAUGUACAAACAACUUGUCGUCUAUGAUAACUCUAAUAAGGAAAAAGUAUGAUUUGGUGUGUCUUGGGACACUUUUUUUUCUUCCGGUUUUGACAUUGAAAAAUUUUGAGCUGCGACACAUGCAGUGACCAGAAACCACACAACUCAUAAAUCUGUAGUUAGGAAACCAUACAUCAUCAAGAUGUAUGGCCAACACCAACCACAAUUUUUUAUUUUGGAGAUACAUCAACCACAUAUUUAUGAGUAAGUAAUAAUAAUCUUGGAAAUAUCAAAUUUUUUAAAUCUCAACUGAUGUAACAAUGUUUCAUUUAUUUAUAUUUCAACUCAUCGCGAAUAUCAUUUAUUUAGAUUGCCAUAUUAUGUGUCACCCUAAAAAAAACUGAUCUUGUAGCAUAUUAGUUUAUAUUAGAAAGUUGCAAUAGUAGAACUUGGUUUAACAAGGUGGCCUUUGAGUGAGGUCAGAUCAAAUAGAAGAACAAAAAUUUCAUUGAAUGGAACUUUACUUUUGGACCUUAGGGUUAGGUUACAUCCUAGGUGUAUUCGUAUGACCACUAGAAACAAUCACGAGAUUCUUGUUUUAAAAUAAGGUGGUCCAAUCUUAAGUUGUCAUAAACAUUGCCUUGUUCUAGAAAUAGUUGGUCCAAUCUUUGUGAUCAUAUUAUUAGUAUUUACAAUCAAUAUAUGUAGUAACUUGUCAUACAAACUUCUAUUCUUUAAAACAAGACUUGCGCGACAAGGUACUUGGCUUUUAGUCAUGACUCGUUAAAUAUUUAGACCAAUUGUCCAUGCUGUUUUUUUGAUCAAAAAUUGUCCAUGAUAAUGUUGAGGCAAGUAGACGUGGGUUUUGUUUCUAUUGUUUUCUAUGCUUCUGGAUAUAGUUCUUUGGUAGCGUGCGAUUAAAGCGUUUCUCAGUGAAUAACUUUUUUGGGCAAAACAUUAGCUUUGAAAAACUCUUCUUCUGAGCAUUCAAUCAAUCAAUGAGUGUAAGUAUACAAGAUCAUCAUGUGCAAGUAAGGAUUUCAGAGGUCACGAUACUUGAGCAAUUCCAAAUACGAACAUACUGUUCUCAUAAGCAAGAAAGAUAUAAUAACCGUGCUAUUUCAAAUAUUGACAUUUCUACAAAGGCAUAGAUGACCCCAACCCACGCCCACCGUGUGCCAUCAUAAGCAUAUCUCCUAAUACAACUAUAUGGAUUACCUAGCAAGUCCAGUGCAACUUUGUGAAACGCAUAUAAGUUCGUUACUCACAUGCCUUAAAAUCAAUUAUGUGGCGUAGUCCAUGAAACAAUUCUCACAAUGAAAUUGUGUGGUUUCUCCAAUGCAGUGUAGUAAAUCACAUAAAAUUGAUUAUUUUCAUGGACCACCUGUGGGAUCAGCUGAGAAACUGAAAGUGCUUGGGUCUAGGAGGUCAGCUCAAGCGCAUUGGAGUCCGGAAGGUUCGCUCAAGCGCAAGCACACUUGAAGAAAAGAAAAAAAAAAAGAAAAAAAAGAAAAAAAAAGGGGUCAUGGACCACCUAGGAUUAGCUAAGAAACCAAAGGCGCUGGAGUCCAGGAGGUCAGGUCAAGCGCAUUGGGGUCCGGAAGGUCCGCUCAAGCGCAAGCACACCCAAAAAAAAAAAAAAUCAUGGACCACCUGGGAUCAGCUAAGAAACCGAAGGCACUAGGGUCCAGGAGGUCAGCUCAAAUGCAUUGGGGUCCAAAAGGUCCCCUCAAGCGCAAGCACACACCGAAAAAUAAAAUAAAAAAGUCAUGGACCACUUGGGAUCAGCUGAGAAACCGAAGGCGCUGGGGUCAGGUUAGCUCAAGCGCAUUAAAGAUCCGCUUAAGCGCAAGCACACCCAAAAGAAAAAAAAAAUGUCAUGGACCAUCUGGAACGUGGGUUGGGUGGGUGGGGUCCGACUGUAAGUGCAUAAAGGUGGAGAUGGCUGGGUUAGGUGCGGCUACAGAUGGCUGGGGUUGGGUGGGCGUGGGGAAAAUUGGUGGGUUGUGGGCUGCUGGGUUGGGGAGGACGGUGGGGAGUCUAAGGAAGAUGGGGUAGCAGAGAGACAAAUGAAAAUCAAAGUAGAAUGAGAAUAAAGAAGGCUGGUUUUCAAUUUCUAAAAAUAUGGUUAUGGAGAAAACAAAGGGUGGAGAAGGAUUUUUAAUAGCAUACUAGCCUCUCUGCACGCGCUUCCGCGCUUGCGAGAGGUUUUUUUAAAAAAAUAAGUAAAUUUCUUUUAGAAUUAAAAAAGAUAAUGGUAGUUGUGUUCCAUAAAAAUAGGAUCUAUUAUCUGCUUUUUCUUUUUCUUUUAAUUUUUUUAAAUAUGAAAAAGUGUGAAUUUAUCAUAUUAUCCUCAUUUAAUUAAUAAUUUGAAUUCUUAAUGUUUGCAUUAACCAAGGGCAUUUUCUGGUAUUUUGAAUGUUUCACCAUUCUCUGCCUUUUGCUUUAUAUAUAUAGAUAUAUACUAGCCUCUCUGCACGCGCUUUUGCACAUGCGAGAGGUUUUUUUAAAAAAAAUUUAAAUUUAUUUUAGAAUUAAAAAAGAUAAUGGAUAGUUGUGUUCCAUAAAAAUAGGAUUCAUUAUCUGAAUUUUCUUUUAAUUUUAAUUUUUUUAAUAUGAAAAAUUAUGAAUUUACCAUAUUAUCCUCAUUUAAUUAAUAAUUUCAAUUCUUAAUGUUUGCAUUAACCAAGGGUAUUUUCUGGUAUUUUGAAUGUUUCACCAUUCUCUGCCUUUUGCUUUAUAUAUAUAGAUAAACCUUAAACGGCACAAAAAUACUUUUCGUGCCCUAUGAAAAGCACAAUUAAUCGUGCUUUCAAAUUGUAAUAAUAAUUUCAUAGCCUCACUUAUUACUCACAGUGAAGUGACAUAGUAAAAGGUAGUAUUGACAUGGAUAUUAGGCACAAAUCUCGUGUCCAAAUUUCAAUGGGCACAAAUAGAUUCUUUUUGUACUCGUCUUAGACACAAACCUACAGUGUUUUAUGUGUAAUGAAGUUGAAAAAGACACGAUCCUUCUUUUGUGCUCUAUAAAAUGCGUCUUUAGAGCAGUUUUGUAGUAGUAAAAUAAACUGUACAUGCCUAAUUAUGUAGCAUGCGAUCAUGUUGUUAUACUAGAAUUGCUUAAAACUUUCAUGUGAACACGAAAUGACAAGAAUCGUAAGAUAAAGUUGCUCCAACCAAUAAUCAAAUACUCGAAACAAAGAAAAAUUGCAGUCUACUAACAAAGAGAAAUAUGGGGGUCAUAUUAAAAGAAUAAACGAUAGUAGGACUCAACAUAUAAAAAGAUUUUAAAAUAACUCAUCAAAAGAGCUUCGAGUGUGAAUUGCAUUGCUCUCGAUCCACCAUGUACACACGUUGGUACGUUGGUAGUUGGUUUCUGGUAAUCUGAACAGACAUAUAUACCCUUGAUUUGGGACCAGACCAGCUGUAAUCAACUUUGAAGGAAAAUGUGUGCCUCAUACAAGUACGGAAAAAGAUAAAAAAGAAAGAGAAUAUAAUUUCAAUCCCACUUCGGGGCUGCAAGGGUUUUCAUUCACACAACCUGAAAUAUGGGAAGGUUCUGUUUACAUAUAUAUAUUCUCUCUAUUUCUAAAGCAAGCAUGAAAGAAUGAUCAAAUCAACUAUCCAAGUGUGUCAGCUGGCAGAUUGCAAUUGGUGCUAGCUGGUUCUUCUUGUGGUCACAGACUCACCAUACAACACUAAUUUUAUCUUAUCUUAUCUUUUGGUGGGAAACAUGAGCCUUGAAUUGUCCCCUCAAUCAAAUUCAAAUCAAACUCAAGUGCUUGAGUGAGUGUUCAUGGUGGGGGGCAAUGUAGAUUAAGUUAUGGGACCAGAGAAACUUUUGGGAUCCUAUAUUUCUAAGUUUGAAGUUGUAAAUUAAGUUAUAGUGAUCAUGCUCCAAUGGCACAACCAAGCCUCUCUCACUUCUCAUCCUUCCUUUUGAUUCUUCUUCUCUUUGCAUUGUCACUUGGGCAACAAACAGCUGCAGGACAUGGACUCUCAAUCAAGGAAGCCACCAUAGACGAUCUCCAACUAGCUUUCAAGCACAACAAGCUCACCUCAAGGCAACUUGUCCAGUUUUACCUUGGGGAAAUCAGCAAGCUCAACCCUUUCCUCAAGGGGGUCAUAGAAGUGAACCCGGAUGCGCUUUACCUUGCCGAAAAGGCUGACUACAAGCGCAAGACUAAGGCACCAUCUGUGUCACUCUCUAAGUUACAUGGCAUUCCCAUUCUGGUCAAGGACAACAUUGCAACCAAGGACAAGUUGAACACCACAGCUGGCUCUUAUGCUCUGCUUGGCUCUGUUGUGCCCCGGGACGCCGGCGUGGUGACCAAGUUGAGGAAGGCUGGGGCUGUCAUACUGGGAAAGGCCAGCUUGAGUGAGUGGUCCUAUUGGAGGUCCAAUGAUGCACCUUCUGGUUGGAGUGGCAGAGGUGGCCAAGGGGUGGUGAGUUGAGGAUCAUUAAUUGCCUUAUGUUAUGCUGUGAAACUGUCAAUUUAAAACAUACAUUCAACUAAAAGUUCACAUAACUAAUGUUCGAGAUUGACUGUCAGUCUGAUAAUAUAAGAGAACAGACAUUCUGAGAUUUAACCCACUGAGAUAUAGUUCGGUUGAGUGCAGAACCCUUACAAUUUUAGCACGACGCCAAGCGGCUCAAGUAGCGGGCCGGCAAUAUCAGCGGCAGCAAAUCUGGCAACAGUGACACUGGGGAGUGAAACAGACGGGUCGAUUUUAAGUCCAUCCAGUUGGAACUCAGUGGUGGGCAUCAAACCAACAAUUGGCCUUACAAGUCGAGCAGGGGUUGUUCCAAUCUCUCCAAGACAGGACACAGUCGGGUAAGUGGUGAUCAAUCAAUGUAAAUUAUUUUCACAUUAAUUUAGAUGGCUGGCUUUUUCUGUCUCAUUGUUUGUUGGGGGGUGUUGGAUUGAACAGGCCAAUUACUAGGACAGUAUCAGAUGCCGCAUAUGUUCUUGAUGUCAUUGCAGGCAUUGACAGCAAUGACCUUGCAACAAGUGAGGCAUCGAGGUACAUUCCCAAGGGCGGCUAUGCACAAUUUCUCAGACCUGAUGGACUUAGAGGUAAGAGAAUAGGGAUAGUGAGAGCCUUGUUCAACUUUGGCAGUGACGCUUCGUUGACUCAAACUUUCGAACAGCAUUUCAACACUCUGAGGUAACCAAAAAAAUGUAUUAGUCUCUCCAAUUCGAGACAUAAUACGUUCUGUUUUGAUGACAUAAUAAGUUGUUGGAAUUUGGAAAUUUAAUGUAGGAAAAGAGGUGCUGUUUUGGUAGACAAUUUGGAAAUAGCACAUUUUGAUGAAAUCUACUAUAAUUCAAGUAGUGAAGACAUUGCAUUGUCUGCUGAGUUCAAAAUUUACUUGAACACAUACCUCAAGAACUUGGUGGCUUCACCGGUUCGAUCCUUGGCAGACGUGAUAGUCUUCAACAAUAAAAACUCAAAACUGGUGAGUAAAUAGGAGCAAGGGUUUAUGUAACUUUCAAAUCAUAUGCUCAGAAUUUGUCCUAAGUAAUUGGUUGAGCUACCGGCAAUGCAGGAGAAAGUGAAGGAGUAUGGCCAAGGCCUACUCUUGAAAUCUGAAGCAACAAAUGGGAUUGGCAAUGCAGAGAAGGCAGCGCUGGUAAACUUGGCAAAGCUAUCCAAAAAUGGUUUCGAGAAGCUCGUGACGAAGAAGAGGCUAGACGCAGUGGUGGCUCCAUCUGCAACCGUGUCGACGUUGCUCGCCAUAGCAGGCUCCCCAGGAGUGGUUGUCCCAGCAGGAUAUACUAAAGAUGGGGUACCGUUUGGCAUCUCCUUUGGCGGGCUGAGGGGUUCGGAGCCAAAGCUAAUUGAGAUAGCAUACGGCUUUGAGCAAGCCACUAAGAUUAGGAAGCCUCCUUCACUUAAAAACUUCAAGAUUUAGAGCCCCAUUUUAUUGGUAUUGAAGCUAAUGGGCGUGCUAUUGUAGUCUUACCACAAUAUCAAUAGCAUUAAGAGUACAAGUGAUAGUCUAAACUAUAAGAGAGUUGAUGAAAGGUAUGAAAGAUUUUUUUUUUUUUUUUAAUGUUUACAAGUCAGGGUUUUUUUUUUUCACUGUGCUAGACCCGGUUGGCAACAAAAUAUGUAUGAUUUAAACAUUAUAAACAUGAUCCACAACCAUAGGAAACAUAAUAUAACUAAGUAAAUAAUAAGCCAAAGUGAAACUCCUAUCCCGUGAGAAUUAACCAAUUAAAUAUCAUCUAAUCAAAUUGCUCUCACCAUCAGGGGCGGAUGCACAGAGGGACAAUAGGGGUCAAGUGCCUUAUGGCAACUGAAAAGGUAGCUGUAGAGGUCUCAAACGACCCCAUGGCUGGCUGGUGUGCGACCUCGAAGGUGCACACUAGAUGUUUGAUGAAAGGUUUGAAAGACCUAGUGAUGCUGCUGUUGCGCGCAGCACAGCGAGGUAAUUUUUUUUUUUCAAAAUCACAUGGCCAAAACAACGUUGUUUUGGUCCAAGCGUAUUCAAAUUUUUUUUAAUGACCUGACUUCAAAACGACGUCGCUUUAAGCCAGCUUUUAUAAAAUUUAAAUUUAUAAAAAUAAAAAUAAAAGAACAGAACCCACCCUUUUUUUUCACAUUUACACCAGGUCUUAAAUAUGUUGAUCUUUAGAGCACUUCCAGCGCGCGUUUUCAACCCGGGCAAGAGGGGCCCAAAGGCCACAAUCCAACUCCACCGCGCCAAGUCCAGCCAGGGCAAGGUUUGGGUCUCACGAGCCUCGUAAGCCCACAAGCAAAUUCAGCUUGAGCUGCUACCUAGGCAAAAUGACACAAUGCUGACGUCAUAAUGAUGUCAUCAAUCAAGAAAGAUUUUGAAAAAAAAUACCAAAAUUUCAGAAUUAUAUAUAUAAAUAUCUAGUCAUAUUCUUUACUUCCUACAUCAAAAACUUCUUUCAAAUUCAUCUCCUCAUAUCUCAUGUGAAUAGUAAUUGCCCUUGUCAUGGCCCAUAGGGGUGGAAACAAAAUUGCAAGGGUUGCCAUUAUUCAUGUGAAUAGUGACAGCCCUUGCCUUGCCCUUGCCUUGCCCUUGCCCUUGCCUUGCCUUUGCCCAUAGGGGUGAAAGUGCUCUUAUAUCAAUUUCUUCAUAUAUUACAACUGUACUAGUACAAACACCCCUUUUACUUGCCCAGCUAGACUCACCCCCCCAAAUGAAUAUUUCUUCCUCCUCUCAUCAACAAUUGAUUAAGGGGUUAUUGAUAGUGUUUUGAUUAAUUGAUUAAUGCUUGUGUUUUGAUUAAUUGAUUAGGGCUUUGUGUUUUGAUUAGUUUAUUAGGGCUUUUUUUUAAUAUUUGAUUAGGGUCUUGUGCUCAGGUUUUUUUUACAUGUUUUGUGUUUUGAUUAGUUGAUUAGGAAUGAAAAUGCUAUUGUUUAAUUUUUCAAUGUUUAUUUUGUUUUGAAGAAAAAUUUCGAAAUCUUUACACUAUGACCCCAUAUUCUAAGAAUCCUAAAUCUGCCACUGCUCACUAUACCUAUUUUUUCUCUAACUUCUUAACCACAACCCAUAAAUCACUAAUUCUUAUGUGAAAUAAAUCUACUAAAUUAUGUUGAAAGAGUUUGACCAAAAAAAAAAAUUAUGUGGGAAGACUACAAUGUACAAACAACUUGUCGUCCAUGAUAACUCUAAUAAGGAAAAAGUAUGAUUUUGUGUGUCUUCGGAUACUUUUUUUUAUUCCAGUUUUGACAUUGAAAUUUUUUGAGUCGCGACACAUGCAAUGACCAGGAACGACACAACUCAUAAAUCUGCAAUUAGGAAACCACACAUCAUCAAAUUGUGUGGCCAACACCAACCACAUAUUUUAUUUUUAUUUUUGAGAUAUUGAGUAAUAAUAAUCCUAGAAGUAUCAAAAAAUUUCAAUAUCAACUAAUGUGGUAAUUCUUCAUUUAUUUAUAGUUCAAUUCACCGUGAACAUCAUUUAUUUAGAUUGACAUAUUAUGUGUCACCCUAAAAAAAAAAACUGAUCUUGCCCCACAUUAAUUGAUAUUAGAAAGUUGCAAUAGUAGAACUUGGUUUAACAAGGUGGCCUUUGAGUGAGGUUAGAUCAAAUAGAAGAACAAAAAUUUCAUUGAAUGGAACUUUACUUUUGGACCUUAGGGUUAGGUUACAUCCUAGGUGUAUUCGUAUGACCACUAGAAACAAUCACGAGAUUCUUGUUUUAAAAUAAGAUGGUCCAAUCUUAAGUUGUCAUAAACAUUGCCUUGUUCUAGAAAUAGUUGGUCCAAUCUUUGUGAUCAUAUUAUUAGUAUUUACAAUCAAUAUAUGUAGUAACUUGUCAUACAAACUUCUAUUCUUUAAAACAAGACUUGCGCGACAAGGUACUUGGCUUUUAGUCAUGACUCGUUAAAUAAUAUCAACUCAUAUUUAGAACCAAUUGUCCAUGAUGUUUUUUUGAUCAAAAAUUGUUCAUGAUAAUGUUGAAGCAAGUAGACGUGGGUUUUGUUUUCUAUUCUUGUUCCUUCUAUAGGAAAUAAACUGUACAUGCCUAAUUAUGCAGCAUGCGAUCAUGUUGUUAUACUAGAAUUGCUUAAAACUUCCAUGUGGAUAAUGACAAAAAAUCGUAGGAGAAAGUUGCCCCAAACAAUAAUCAAAUCCUACAUGAAUGUUAAAGCAACAAAGGGGUUAUUAAAAAUUUAUUAAGUGUCAAAUUGCCGUAUAGGUCAUCAAGAGAUGAUAUUGUGAUGAACUAUUACUUUUGGCCUUCUAUCUAUGCCACCAAAAAUUAUCCAAUUUGUGAACGGUUAUCUAUGAUAUAAGGCUUUAUAAUUCUUUUUUUUAGUUCCCAACAGAAUCAUGGACUGUAUAUGAAGUUUUAAGUAUUAUUGUCACAUACCCGACAUGGUAAUGAUUAUAAUAUUAUGUACACUAUUAUAGGUUAAUACUUUUUAUGGAGGAUUGAGAUACAAAGGCGGCAAAGGUUUUCAUUCACACACUUCUCUCUUCUCCUCGUACGCAUCAAAUAAGGUAGCUUCUUUUUUUUUUUUUUCAAAUUUACCCUUAUUAAUUAUUUAUUGUUAAUUAAAACACAUUAACCAGUUGGGAAUUUUCCUCUUCUCCCAACUCCCUAACCCAGCUCAAGAGAAGAAGACGUCAGAGCCUAAUUUGGAUCCCACCAUCGCAUUCAUUGAUACCAACCUCAUAUCAGAAAGCUCCAUGUUUUUUUUUUUUUUUUUGGGUUGCCUGCCCUAUUUCAUAUAUUCUCUCCGUUUCUGAAAUAAGAAAAAAAGAAUAAUAAAAUCAACUUUCCAAUUGUGUCAGCUGACAGAUUGCAAUUGGUGCUAGCUGGUUCUUCUUGUGGUCACAAACUAAUCAUGCAACACUGAUUUUCUAUUCUUUUAGGUGGGAAUAUUAGCUACCAACUAGUCUAGUCACCUUAAUCAAACUCAAUUGCUUCACGGAAGUGGCCAAUGGGACCAGAGAACUUCUCAUUCCAAACAACCAAAAACUCAUAAAAUGAUCAUGAAGUCAAUCAAAUUGCAAAUUAUUAAGAAGUGAAUUGAGGGGUACUUUUCGCUUUUGGGACCCUAUAUCCAUGGCACAAUUUCUAAGUUGAAGUUGUAAAUCAAGUUCUAGUGUUCACUCCUCCAAUGGCACAAGCAAGCCCCUCUCACUUCUCAUCCUUCCUUCUGAUUCUUCUUCUCUUUGCACUGUCACUUGGGCAACAAACAACUGCAGGACAUGGACCCUCAAUCAAGGAAGCCACCAUAGACGAUCUCCAACUAGCUUUCAAGCACAAGCAGCUCACCUCAAGGCAACUAGUCCAGUUUUACCUUGGGGAAAUCAGCAGGCUCAACCCUUUCCUCAAAGGGGUCAUAGAAGUGAACCCGGAUGCGCUUUAUCUUGCGGACAAGGCUGACUACGAGCGCAAGACUAAAGCACCAUCUGUGUCACUCUCUAAGUUACAUGGCAUUCCCAUUCUGGUCAAGGACAGCAUUGCAACCGAGGACAAGUUGAACACCACAGCUGGCUCUUAUGCUCUGCUUGGCUCUGUUGUGCCCCGGGACGCCGGUGUGGUGACCAAAUUGAGGAAGGCUGGGGCAAUCAUACUGGGAAAGGCCAGCUUGAGUGAGUGGGUCUAUGGGAGGUCCAAUGAGACACCUCCUGGUUGGAGUGGCAGAGGUGGCCAAGGGGUGGUGAGUUGAGGAUCAUUAAUUGCCUCCUGUAUACCUUGUUUGAUUAAUUUAAACGGUUAAGUUCUCUUGAUAGAAACUUGGUAUGUUAUGUUGUGAAACUUUCAAUUUGAAACAUACAUUCAACUAAAAGUUCACAUAACUAAUGUUUGAGAUUGACUGACAGUUUGAUAAUAUAAGGUAACAGACAUUCUGAGAUUUAACCCACUGAGAUAACAGACAGUCUGAUAAUGUUCGGUUCAGUGCAGAACCCUUACAAUUUCAACGCGACGCCAAGCGGCUCAAGUAGCGGGUCGGCAAUAUCAGCGGCAGCAAAUCUGGCAGCAGUGACACUGGGGACUGAAACAGACGGUUCAAUUUUAAGUCCAUCCAGUUGGAACUCAGUGGUGGGCAUCAAACCAACAAUUGGCCUUACAAGUCGAGCAGGGGUUGUACCAAUCUCUCCAAGACAGGACACGGUCGGGUAAGUGGUGAUCAAUCAAUGUAAAUUAUUUUUACAUUAAUUUAGAUGGCUACCUUUUUCAGUCUCAUUGUUUGUUGGGGGGUGUUGGAUUGAACAGGCCAAUUGCUAGGACAGUAUCAGAUGCCGCAUAUGUUCUUGAUGUCAUUGCAGGCAUUGACAGCAAUGACCCUGCAACAAUUGAGGCAUCGAGGUACAUUCCCAAGGGCGGCUAUGCACAAUUUCUCAGACCUGAUGGACUUAGAGGUAAGAGAAUAGGGAUAGUGAGAGCCUUGUUCAACUUCGGCGGUGACGCUUCGUUGACUCGAACUUUUGAACAGCAUUUCAACACUUUGAGGUAACAAAACCAUGUAUUAGUCUCUCCAAUUCGAGACAUACGUUCUGUUUUGAUGACAUAAUAAGUUGUUGGAAUUUGGAAAUUUAAUGUAGGAAAAGAGGUGCUGUUUUGGUAGACAAUUUGGAAAUAGCACAUUUUGAUGAAAUCUACUAUAAUUCAAGUAGUGAAACCAUUGCAUUGGCUGCUGAGUUCAAAAUUUACUUGAACACAUACCUCAAGAACUUGGUGGCUUCGCCAGUUCGAUCCUUGGCAGACGUGAUAGCCUUCAACAAUAAAAACUCAAAACUGGUGAGUAAAUAGGAGCAAAGGUUUAUGUUACUUCCAAAUUAUGCUCAGAAUUUGUCCUAAGUAAUUGGUUGAGCUACCGGCAAUGCAGGAGAAAGUGAAGGAGUAUGGCCAAGGCCGACUCUUGGAAGCUGAAGCAACAAAUGGGAUUGGCAAUGCAGAGAAGGCAGCGCUGGUAAACUUGGCAAAGCUAUCCAAAAAUGGUUUCGAGAAGCUCGUGACGAAGAAGAGGCUAGACGCAGUGGUGGCUCCAUCUGCAACCGUGUCGACGUUGCUCGCCAUAGCAGGUUCCCCAGGUGUGGUUGUCCCAGCAGGAUAUACUAAAGAUGGGGUACCGUUUGGCAUCUCUUUUGGAGGGCUGAGGGGUUCGGAGCCAAAGCUAAUUGAGAUAGCAUACGGCUUUGAGCAAGCCACUAAGAUUAGGAAGCCGCCUCCACUUAAAAAACUUCAAGAUUUAGAGCCCCAUUUUAUUUGGGUGUUGAAGCUAAUGGGUGUACUAUUGUAGUCUUAUGAUCAACAAAAUGCUAAGGAUAAUAAUGACGGGUCUUGAUCAUUUAGAUUUUAUUACAACUGUUCUCUUGGUCUAAUACAUUUCUCUUUCAAAUGCUGUAAGAGAUUCAAGUUCAAAUGGCUCUCCCAAAUAAUUUAAAUUUAAAAAAAAAAUCAGAAAUUCUAUUAAAAUUGAAAACUAUUAAUUACUUGUUUUCUAUGAUAACCUUUUCAUGCGUUUAAUAACUGGAAUGCAUCAUGAUUUGACCGCAAUACCAAUACAUUUAGCAUUAAGAGUACAAGUGAGAGUCUAAACUACAAGAGAGUUGAUGAAAGAUAUGAAAUUAUUUUAUUUUAUUUUUUAAUAUUUACAAGUCAAAGUUCUUUUUCACCGUGCUAGACUUGGUUGGCAAAAAAUAUGUAUGAUUCACCGUGCACGGCUAUAUUAUUAUUAUUUUUAAAUAAAUAAAUAUAUAUAUAUACUUGCCCAAUGCAUAAGCGCCACGUGCCAAACAGGAAAAGUAGGGCAGCUAUACUUUCUUUUUUUUAAAUUUCGAAAAAACGAGUAUAGCCGCUCGGCUAUACUAAGUCUCGAAACAAAAACAUAGCUUUCAAACUUAUCCGAACUUGUUCCAAAACUGUUCGCAAGCCUCGAACCCUAACUGUAAACCUAUUGUAGGGCACUUAGGACUCGAUUAGGGUUAGAUAAUCACAUAACUCGACCCAGGGCUUUACGAUUUAGGUUUUGCUCUCAAUCUUGAGCUUUGGGGAGUUUUAAUUAAGGGCCAGUUUGGCAUUGAUGUGCUGUGAAACUAAUCAUUGUCAGAUUUGCUGUGAGAGAAAUCAACUGUGAGAUAAAACAGUUUGGCUUUUGGUAAACUUUUUGUUAAAAGUGUUGUUGGUAUUGAUUUCUGCAUAAUCAGAAAAUGAUUGCCGCAUAAUCAUUAAACCCAGUGCAUCUUCGAAACUGAAUUCUGCAUAAUCAGAAAAUGAAAGCAUCUCAUUAGCUAUUUUCCCUUAUAGCUUUCUCUCAGAACAAUUUUUAACAAUAAGUGAUUUUCUCAUAGUUAACCAAACGGGCUGGGCUUCCCAAAAUUUUUUUAAAAUCACUUAUCACCUCAAAUAAGCAAUAACAAACGGGCACUAAGACAUCUAAACGAAAAUAAGUAAUUUAUUUUUUCGUUUUUGCACAACAUAAUUAAAUCAGUAACAUAUUUAAAUAUUCACUAAAUAAAUAAUAAUUAAUACGUAAUUACUAAUCAAAGUGAUUCAAGAAGGCUAAUCACAUAUAUUAAGUUAAAGAAGUUGGCCCAAAAAAAAAGUAAAGAAACUAAUUUUAUAUUUUUAAAAUUCAAAAUUCAAAAAAAAAAACUCUCCCGACGAAAUUUCAUUGGCAGAGGAAACAUUCGUCGGGAGAAGUUUAAUCCAACAAAUAUUUACCGGCAUAGACCUGUACCGACGAACAUUCGUCAGGAGAUGUAUUUUCUUAGUUUGCUAUUACAGGGUAUAGCCGGUCAGCUAUACUUUAAAAUAUUCUUUUUUACGGGUAUAGCGGUCCGGCUAUACUGUUAAGGUAUUAUAUUUUUUAGAGUAUAGCUACGCGGCUAUACUAUUUAUAUAUUAAAAAAAGAAGCGACCAGCGCAUAGGUGCCACGUGUCAACACAGUUUUUUUUAAAACGGGUAUAGCCGCACGACUAUACUAUUUCUUUAAAAAAAUUCAAGAAGAAUAUAGUAUAGCCAACGGCUAUACUAUUUAUAUAUGUAUAUAAAGACACGCCCACCUAUGUGCCACGUGUCAAACAAGUACAGCCGUCCGGCUAUACUAUUUUGUUUUUAAAAUUUAGAAAAAAAAGGAGUAUAGCCGUGUGGCCGAUAAAUCCCUUUCUCAGAGUAUAGCCGCGCGGCGUUUUUCUCUUUCAUUAAAAAAACGAAAGGGAAAGGAAGGAAACAGCGCAACCAGCUGUUGCACAACCAAACAAAAAGGGAAACCAGAGUAACAACCGAAACACCCCCUGGGCAACACGACAAGAAGUCCAAACACACAAAGCACACCAAACAAAACAACUAAAGACAACAACAAAAACACCAGCUAGGACAAGAACAAUCUAGGACGCCGCCCCUGAAGGCGUGCGUCAGAGCCUAACUGGACGAAAAACCUUACACCUGUGGAGGACAGGGAAGCCCAUCACUUUGGAGAAGGAACACCAGGGAGGAUGGGGGUAGCUGGGCUUUAGUGUGUAAAUGGCAACUGGUGGUGGUGGUGGCUCUCCGUUGAUGAAUAGAGGUAAGUCAGAUUUUGUAGGUUUGAUUUGAUUUAAAUUAAUUUAAUUUUUGCUUGAUUAGUACAUGGGUACUCAAUUAUGGCUUAAUUAGUUUGGGAGAAGAAAUGGCUUCCCCAGUUUCAGUUUCGGUACUCUGAGAAAGGGAUUUAUCGGCCGAUAUCUCAUACCUCAGCCCAGUUGUGUUUCAAAGUUUGAAGUUAUGAACUCUGUGAGUCUGCAGCUAGUCCACUGCUUACUUGUGAUUCUUCUGCUUACAUUGUCAUCUGGGCCACAAACAAUUACAGGGCAAGGGUUCUCAAUCAGGGAAGCCACCAUAGAUGAUCUCCAACUUGCUUUCAAGCACAACCAGCUCACCUCAAGGCAACUUGUCCAAUUUUACCUUGGAGAAAUCACCAGACUCAACCCUUUCCUCAAGGGGGUCAUAGAAGUGAACCUGGAUGCUCUUGACCUUGCCGAAAAGGCUGACUACGAGCGCAAGACCAAGCCACCAUCUGUGCCACUCUCUAAGUUGCAUGGCAUUCCCAUUCUGAUCAAGGACAACACUGCAACCAAGGACAAGUUGAACACCACAGCUGGCUCUUAUGCUCUGCUUGGCUC